rnacentral:lncRNA from 1 species
GACAAGAGCAAGAUUCUGUCUCAAAAAUAAAAUUUUAAAAGUUCUGCAAUUCUGCAUAAAGAUAAAUGCUAUUUGUUCCUGGGGGCUGGGGUCACCAGGGAGGCUUCCUGGAGGAGGAGGCAGGGCUGAGGAAUGGAUGGCAGCAGAGAGUAUUUGUGGGUGAGGCUAUGGUGCUGCUGGAGAGGCAGGGUGUGGCAGCUUGGGCUGGGGCCAGCAGUGAGCUUGGAAUUCCCCAGGGCUUUCCAGAAGCCAGAAGGCCGGGGCGGAGUGGGUUGUCCAAGAGCUUGUCUUGUCCUCUUGCCCUGGCCACAGCCGGGAAGCCCUGGGCAGGCGCCCGUGGAUAGCUGGCACGCUCAGCCUUUGGUGGAGAACUGAGAAAGUCUGAAGCAGGAAGGUGGAAAAACAUUUCGUGCUCAGGGAGGAAACGUCUUCACCCCGGUUUACAGGAUGACACGUCAGCAGGGCCCUCACCAGAUGCUGGCCCCUUGAUCUCAGACUUCCCGGCCUCCUGCGCUGCCAGCCUAAUACACUUCUCUUCGUUGUAAAUUACUCAGUCUGUGAUAUUCUGUGAUAGCAACAGAAAACAGACGAAGACGCAGGCCAAGGCAGAUCAAGAUACUGGCUCCGGUCAAAUACUGUGUUUCGACGUGAUUGACAGGCGAAGGCUUAAGGAAAAGGAAGAGGAGAAAAAAAGGGGAGGACGAUCAAGGAAAAGAGGAGAUAAAAGUGGACAACCCAGCCGGGCGCGGUGGCUCACGCCUGCCAUCCCAGCACUUUGGGAGGCGGAGGUGGGCGGAUCACGAGGUCA